GAUGAACGCUGGCGGCGUGCCUAAUACAUGCAAGUCGAACGAAGUGAAGAGGAGCUUGCUCCUUGGAACUUAGUGGCGAACGGGUGAGUAAUACAUAAGCAACCUGCCUCGAUGCCUGGGAUAACAGAGGGAAACUUCUGCUAAUACCGGAUACGUUAAUCUAAGACAUCUUAGAUUAAUUAAAGAUGGGAUACAUCACAACGAGAUGGGCUUAUGGCGCAUUAGUUAGUUGGUAAGGUAACGGCUUACCAAGACGAUGAUGCGUAGCCGACCUGAGAGGGUGACCGGCCACACUGGGACUGAGACACGGCCCAGGCUCCUACGGGAGGCAGCAGUAGGGAAUUUUCGGCAAUGGGGGAAACCCUGACCGAGCAACGCCGCGUGAGUGAAGACGGCCUUAGGGUUGUAAAGCUCUGUUGUAAGGGAAGAACAAUAAGAAGAGGGAAUGCUUCUUAUAUGACGGUACCUUACCAGAAAGCCACGGCUAACUACGUGCCAGCCGCCGCCGUAA
rnacentral:rRNA from 1 species